rnacentral:rRNA from 1 species
CAGUCGCCACGGGAAUACGAAGGGGGCUAGCGUUGUUCGGAUUUACUGGGCGUAAAGCGCACGUAGGCGGAUCGAUCAGUCAGGGGUGAAAUCCCAGAGCUCAACUCUGGAACUGCCUUUGAUACUGUCGAUCUGGAGUAUGGAAGAGGUGAGUGGAAUUCCGAGUGUAGAGGUGAAAUUCGUAGAUAUUCGGAGGAACACCAGUGGCGAAGGCGGCUCACUGGUCCAUUACUGACGCUGAGGUGCGAAAGCGUGGGGAGCAAACAGGAUUAGAUACCCCCGUAGUCCCUGUCUCUUAUAA